GAACGCUGGCGGCGUGCCUAAUACAUGCAAGUCGAGCGAACAGAUAAGGAGCUUGCUCCUUUGACGUUAGCGGCAGACGGGUGAGUAACACGUGGGUAACCUACCUAUAAGACUGGAAUAACUCCGGGAAACCGGGGCUAAUGCCGGAUAAUAUUUAGAACCGCAUGGUUCUAAAGUGAAAGAUGGUUUUACUAUCACUUAUAGAUGGACCCGCGCCGUAUUAGCUAGUUGGUGGGGUAAUGGCUUACCAAGGCAACGAUACGUAGCCGACCUGAGAGGGUGAUCGGCCACACUGGAACUGAGACACGGUCCAGACUCCUACGGGAGGCAGUAGUAGGGAAUCUUCCGCAAUGGGCGAAAGCCUGACGGAGCAACGCCGCGUGAGUGAUGAAGGUCUUCGGAUCGUAAAACUCUGUUAUUAGGGAAGAACAAAUGUGUAAGUAACUGUGCACGUCUUGACGGUACCUAAUCAGAAAGCCACGGCUAACUACGUGCCAGCAGCCGCGGUAAUA
rnacentral:rRNA from 1 species